rnacentral:rRNA from 1 species
GACGAACCGUGCGAACGUUAUUCGGAAUCACUGGGCUUAAAGGGCGCGUAGGCGGGCCACCGAGUCCGGGGUGAAAUCCUCCAGCUCAACUGGAGAACGGCCUCGGAUACUGGAGGUCUCGAGGGGGAUAGGGGCACGCGGAACUGUGGGUGGAGCGGUGAAAUGCGCAGAUAUCAGGAGGAACACCAAUGGCGAAGGCAGCUCGCUGGGACGUGACUGACGCUGAGACGCGAAAGCGUGGGGAGCAAACAGG